CUUACACAUGCAAGUCGAACGGCAGCACGGGAGCAAUCCUGGUGGCGAGUGGCGAACGGGUGAGUAAUAUAUCGGAACGUGCCCAGUCGUGGGGGAUAACGUAGCGAAAGCUACGCUAAUACCGCAUACGAUCUACGGAUGAAAGCGGGGGACUCGUAAGGGCCUCGCGCGAUUGGAGCGGCCGAUAUCAGAUUAGGUUGUUGGUGAGGUAAAAGCUCACCAAGCCUGCGAUCUGUAGCUGGUCUGAGAGGACGACCAGCCACACUGGAACUGAGACACGGUCCAGACUCCUACGGGAGGCAGCAGUGGGGAAUUUUGGACAAUGGACGCAAGUCUGAUCCAGCAAUGCCGCGUGCAGGACGAAGGCCUUCGGGUUGUAAACUGCUUUUGUACGGAACGAAACGGUCUGCUUUAAUACAGUGGGCUAAUGACGGUACCGUAAGAAUAAGCACCGGCUAACUACGUGCCAGCAGCCGCGGUAAUACGUAGGGUGCGAGCGUUAAUCGGAAUUACUGGGCGUAAAGCGUGCGCAGGCGGUUAUAUAAGACAGAUGUGAAAUCCCCGGGCUCAACCUGGGACCUGCAUUUGUGACUGUAUAGCUAGAGUACGGUAGAGGGGGAUGGAAUUCCGCGUGUAGCAGUGAAAUGCGUAGAUAUGCGGAGGAACACCGAUGGCGAAGGCAAUCCCCUGGACCUGUACUGACGCUCAUGCACGAAAGCGUGGGGAGCAAACAGGAUUAGAUACCCUGGUAGUCCACGCCCUAAACGAUGUCAACUGGUUGUUGGGUCUUCACUGACUCAGU
rnacentral:rRNA from 1 species